UUUUGUGUUUUUUUUUUUUUUUUCCAGGUGUGAAGUUUGAAGCUUGCUGUUUGGUUCUACUUUUGUGUUUCUGUGGUUGGCUAGCGCUUUUAUGUUGCCUCAUGUUGGAGAAAAGGAAAGAGGAAAGGUUUGGUGAAAGCGUCUCUGAACCCACCGGCUGCCCGGAUGUGUUCUUGCAGCAAAUAACCGGCGAUGAGAAGACAUUACAACAUCAAUCCAGUCGCCCCUCACAGUGUCCGCAGAUAAAUUAGGAGCAACCACUAUAAGAAGAAUCAACGCUCCCGGCAGUUCCAGCCAGUCUGGAGGUUAUAUAUCAUCAUAGUUAGUGACCACAACCGUAAACAGAAUGGGAUUAGUAAGCAACAAUUUUUGUCUAGAUCGCCUGCUAAUCAACCCCAUCGGCUUUGUCAGUGGCUGCCAAUAUUCUCUGUUCUUUUGGUUCAAUUCACAUUGGAGGUGUGGUUCUAAUGCUUAUGUACCCACAGCAAAACGGACUCGGACAAAAGGAUGACCCGGGAACCAACUCGUCGCAAAAGACGAUCCAUCCCGAGCUACUAGAGCUUCAAUAUGUUGUAGUAACCCCAUUAAACAGGCGACAGCCAUGUUCAACUUGAGACACCAAGUGUAGUGAUAGAACCCCGUUCAAACCCUAUCUCAGAGUUUCAAGUAGAGUAGAACACCAAUAAUGUUCUUUUUUCGGUCAUGAACAAUGAUAUAUAAUUUGUAUACACAA